rnacentral:tRNA from 1 species
GGAAGGGUGGCCGAGUGGUUUAAGGCAACGGUCUUGAAAACCGUCGUGGGGGCAACUUCACCGUGGGUUCGAAUCCCACCCCUUCCGCCA